rnacentral:rRNA from 1 species
GGACUACUAGGGUAUCUAAUCCUGUUUGCUCCCCUAGCUUUCGUUCCUCAGCGUCAGUAGUGGUCCAGCGCGCCGCCUUCGCCACGGGUGUUCCUGCAGAUAUCUACGCAUUUCACCGCUACACCUGCAAUUCCACGCGCCUCUCCCACACUCAAGCACAGCAGUUUCGGAAGCAGUCUCUGAGUUGAGCCCAGAGAUUUCACUCCCGACUUGCUACACCGCCUACGAACCCUUUACACCCAGUAAUUCCGAGCAACGCUGGCCCCCCACGUCUUACCGCGGCUGCUGGCAC